CUCGUCCAUUCGUCCACUGAGGGACCCGAGGCUCUGGGCGGCAGGGGACGGUCCCCAGAGCUGGGAGGAGUGGCAGGGUACCGAGGGUGCCUGCCCUGUGCCUGGGAGAGCCUUGCGGCCGCGGAUCAAAAGGACAGCUCUCCAGAUGGGGGAUGGCAUCUGGUGCCUUCUGAGAAGGAAAGGAGACGCGGGAGCCUUGGGCAUGAGCGAGGGCAAAGAGGGGCCCGAGACCCGGGAGCUGCUGUCUCCACGGAGGCUCUGCGCGGCGCAACCUUAAAGCAAAAUGGAGAAGUUAAGCAAGGGAAGGAACAGCUCGCCUGGAUCAAGCCUGCACAGCCUUAGGAACGAUUGAUAGGGCAUGUGUGGUCAUUAUGAAAAUAGUCUGUGGUUUCCCAUUGUGAACUCGGAAUCCCUUCCUAUCCAGAGAAUCCAGGCGGAGAGGCCUACACAGGGCCCACGCUCCUGGGAUCUUCUUGGGCUUGGAGCUUCCCCUACAGCUGCUCUGCAGACAGCACCGCGGCGACCACGGGGGGCCCGAGGUGGCUCUGGACUCAGCUGCCCGGUGGCCUUGCCCUUCGUGUCCCUCUUUGGAAGACUUUGGAUCUUGCCCCCUGCGUCAUCAUCUUUGGAAAUCAUGAAUUUCCUGCCCACAAAGGGAAGCAGAUCCAAUCCCCUCUGCCUGCACCGUUGCGUCAGGAUUCGCUUUGGGUGUUGACACUGAUGUCCCCUCGACAGCCGCCGGCGGCUUCCCCAGGGGCCCGGCCUUGGGCGAAGGAAGGAGCACAGCAUAGCAUUUUGUCUGGGGAGAUGGUCCUGCAUUUUGCUGAGCAGAAAUACCCGUGAGGCUAGACCGGAGAGCUAAAGGGGCUCCGGUUUUUAGAAACCCUGUGUGAUCUUCCUGCCCACGUGAGGGUGGGCGUGU